GCCUCCUUGGCUUAGUUGGUUAGGGCGUAGGUCUCAUAAUCCUAAAAUCGCAAGUUCGAGUCUUGCAGGGGGCA
rnacentral:tRNA from 1 species